UUUAUAUAUUUAAUUGUACUAUUACUAAAUUUAUUUAAUAUUACAUGAUUUUUCAAUAAAACCAUUUUAAUAGUUUUCUCAUACUCGAAGAUUUUUUUUGUAAUCCAAACUCAAAGUAUGAGUGUAUAAUAGUCAUGUAUUACUUAAUGAUUUGAGUAAGUUAUUCUUUUAAAUUGAUAUUUAUAUAAUAAAUCACUGAUGAUAAAAAAAUACGUAAGGAGCUUCAUCAUCAAAUUCUUAGGUUUCUAAAAUCCAACGCUACCCUCUGUUAAAUUGCUUUAAGACAAACGUUGUUUAUAAAUUAUGUGUAUGAUGCAUUGUUGAGAAUGUUAUUAGAAAA
rnacentral:sRNA from 1 species